rnacentral:rRNA from 1 species
UUCAGCUCUCCUCGGGAUACUCCUCGAUCGGUGCCAAGCGCUACGUCUUUACCUGGAAUCGUAACAAGGUAGCCGUAGAGCCCGGUAGUGGGGGAUAACUCGGGGAAACCCGAGCUAAUACCGCAUACGUCCUACGGGAGAAAGCAGGGGAUCUUCGGACCUUGCGCUAUCGGAUGAGCCCAUGUCGGAUUAGCUUGUUGGUGAGGUAACGGCUCACCAAGGCCGCGAUCCGUAGCUGGUCUGAGAGGAUGAUCAGCCACACCGGGACUGAGACACGGCCCGGACUCCUACGGGAGGCAGCAGUGGGGAAUAUUGGACAAUGGGGGAAACCCUGAUCCAGCCAUGCCGCGUGUGUGAAGAAGGCCUUCGGGUUGUAAAGCACUUUCAGUGGGGAAGAAGGCAUGGUGGUUAAUAACCAUCAUGAAGGACAUCACCCACAGAAGAAGCCCCGGCUAACUCCGUGCCAGCAGCCGCGGUAAUACGGAGGGUGCAAGCGUUAAUCGGAAUUACUGGGCGUAAAGGGCGCGUAGGCGGCUUGCCAAGCCGGAUGUGAAAGCCCCGGGCUCAACCCGGGAACGGCAUUCGGAACUGGCAGGCUAGAGUGCAGGAGAGGAAGGUGGAAUUCCCGGUGUAGCGGUGAAAUGCGUAGAGAUCGGGAGGAAUACCAGUGGCGAAGGCGGCCUUCUGGACUGACACUGACGCUGAGGCGCGAAAGCGUGGGUAGCAAACAGGAUUAGAUACCCUGGUAGUCCACGCCGUAAACGAUGUCGACCAGCCGUUGGACCCCUUGAGGGUUUGGUGGCGCAGUUAACGCAAUAAGUCGACCGCCUGGGGAGUACGGCCGCAAGGCUAAAACUCAAAUGAAUUGACGGGGGCCCGCACAAGCGGUGGAGCAUGUGGUUUAAUUCGAUGCAACGCGAAGAACCUUACCUG